rnacentral:rRNA from 1 species
UACAGAGGUCUCAAGCGUUGUUCGGAUUCAUUGGGCGUAAAGCGCGUGUAGGCGGCCCACUAAGUCUGAUGUGAAAGCCCGGGGCUCACCCCCGGAAGUGCAUUGGAAACUGGUGGACUCGAGUCCCGGAGAGGAGGGUGGAAUUCCUGGUGUAGCGGUGAAAUGCGUAGAUAUCAGGAGGAACACCGGUGGCGAAGGCGGCCCUCUGGACGGUGACUGACGCUGAGACGCGAAAGCGUGGGGAGCAAACAGG